UNNCNUCCUANNNUUCAANNUACCCUGCGAGCAAUCGUGAUAAGGAAACCCUGAGUGCCUGUCGAUGCAGGCNGUUCAUAUAUCUAAAUCAUAUGUGAAGAAAGGGCAGGGCAAGACCNGUGCCAGCCGCCGCGGUAAUACCGGCUGCUCGAGUGAUGGCNACUAUUACUGGGUUUAAAGCGUCCGUAGCUUGACUGUUAGGUCUCUUGGGAAAUCUUCACGCUCAACGUGAAGGCGUCUAAGAGAUACCGGCAGUCUUGGAACUGGGAGAGGUAAACCGUACUUCGGGGGUAGGAGUGAAAUCUUGUAAUCCUCGAGGGACGACCUAUGGCGAAGGCAGUUUACCAGUUCAGCUUCGACAGUGAAAAACGAAAGCUCCCGGAGCAAACGGGAUUAGAUACCCCGGUAGUCCCAGCCGUAAACAAUGUGCGUUAGGUGUGUCGGUAACCACGUGUUACUGAUGCGCCGAAGAGAAAUCGUGAAACGCACCACCUGGGAAGUACGGGCUCAAGGCUGAAAC
rnacentral:rRNA from 1 species